UGGGGAAUCAUGGUCAAUGGGCGAAAGCCUGACGGAGCGACGCCGCGUGAAGGAUGAAGGCGUUAUACGUUGUAAACUUCUUUUACAGGGGAAGAUAAUGACUGUACCCUGUGAAUAAGCAUAGGCUAAUUACGUGCCAGCAGCCGCGGUAAGACGUAAUAUGCAAGCGUUAUUCGGAAUCACUGGGCGUAAAGGGUGCGUAGGCGGAUAGAUAAGUCAGUGGUGAAAACCUGCAGCUUAACUGUAGACUUGCCGUUGAUACUGUCAGUCUUGAGUAUGGUCAAGGUAGGCGGAAUGUGUAAUGUAGCGGUGAAAUGCUUAGAUAUUACACAGAACACCGAUUGCGAAGGCAGCUUGCUGGGCCAUUACUGACGCUGAUGCACGAAAGCGUGGGGAUCGAACA
rnacentral:rRNA from 1 species